CGUCAGGAGCUACAUCCUCCCUACAUCUCACACACGAGAGGACAUCUUAACCCUCCUUGAACUCACACUUAGGAAACCCAGCUCAACUGGCAGCCCCAGGAGCAGCCCCAGGAGCAGCCCCUCUCUCCAGUUGUAGGCUGUAAAUACUACUGCCGUGCCCAACUUCAAGAUAUCAACAUGAAGUCCCUGAGCCCGGAGCUGGGAAGAGGAAUUUAUCAGAAAAGUGCAACUUGAAAUCUGCUGAGGAGUUCUGAGAAAGUUUUCCUUCUAGAAAAAAACAACAACAAAAAGUUAUGUGGGAGGAAACAGUCCCAUGUUCUUCUGCUCUACUGGAUGAAUGUGCAUGCAGUGUGAUGCCUGGAGCAGUGGCAGCCAUUUUCAACUACGAGGUUACAAAACAGAGGACAAAGUCUACACACUGAGGAAGGCAGAGCGAAGAGAUGGAAAGAACAUAGGGCCUUCACGACAGUACGGAACCUCUGUAGCUACCAACCCAGGGCCACCGAUCUCAAUUUCUUGUUUUGUGAGAUAAUCAAUCUCUCUCUACUAGAACAUAGAAUCCAUGAAGGCAGAAUUUUGUUUUCGUUUUCCUUUUUUUUCUUUAUGGUCUGUCUUAAUUACUGCCAUAGUAAAUGAUAGGUGAAUGUUUGUUAAAUAAA